rnacentral:rRNA from 2 species
GGACUACCGGGGUUUCUAAUCCCGUUCGCUCCCCUGGCUUUCGCGCCUCAGCGUCAGGAAAGGUCCAGCACGUCGCUUUCGCCACCGGCGUUCCUUCCGAUAUCUACGCAUUUCACCGCUCCACCGGAAGUUCCACAUGCCCCUACCUCCCUCCAGACGGCCAGUAUCGGAAGCUCUUUUCCAGUUGAGCUGAAAGAUUUCACCCCCGACUUGGUCGCCCGCCUACGCGCCCUUUAAGCCCAGUGAAUCCGAACAACGUUAGCACGGUUCGUCUUACCGCGGCGGCUGGCAC